rnacentral:lncRNA from 1 species
UUCUUUAAUUGUGAAUAAAUCUUCUUCUUGAGGAGGUCUAUCUUGAGAGUGACUCUUUGAGAUGCCCUAGGAUUGAUCUUGAAGUGUUUGAGAGGGGUUAGGACUUCUUUAUUUUAAAUCUUAAAUUUCUGCACUUUUCCACUUCUGCUGUAUUUUCUGCUGUGAACGUGCUUGGGGCGGGUGAUUUGGGCAUAUCACUUGCCCCAAUCGCUUUUCCGUGAGUCAGUCCAAUUUUCAGCUUUCUGUCUCUGCGAGUGAUUUGGGCGGGUGAUUCGGGCAGAUCGCUUGCCCAAAUCACUUCUGACUGUUCCUCCAGGUUUCUGCUUCAGUUUGAUCUGGGCAGUGAUUUGGCCAAAUCACUUUGACCCAAUCACUUUUCCAGCUUUUUCUGCACUUUUUCUCCAACUUUCCAUUUUCUUCCUUUUCUGUAAAAACAAGACAAAAACCAUAAAUUAAGCUGAAAAAUGUGUAAUUAAACAAUAAUAAAGCUAAUAAAAAUGUGGCUAAAUUAUGUUUGAUCAAAUACCCCCACACCUAGCUUUUUGCUUGUCCUCAAGGAAUAAAUAACUUAGUCAAUCAAGCUCCUUUUUCCUUUGAGCCUAAGUACCACUUAAUCAGCCCCCCUAGACUCCUAAAUUAAAGUAUUACAGUGUAGAGUACAUGCAACAAGGUUGUUCUUCUCUUUUCCUUGUUUUCCCUUACCUACCAUGGUCAAUGGAAAGGUUUUUGAUUCAAUCAUGCUUAUUCUCUUUGUAUAAGCUCAAUGCAAUCUCUAAGAGUGACUUGCCCUUCUUUGAGCAUUUUAUUUUAUUUUAUUCAGCAGCACUUUUUUAUUCUUGCCUGAAAAAGUCACUAACCUUUUUACACGAAGGUGCAUAUUGGUGAUACCCACCCCCGGUUACUCAGUUAGUCACUUGUUCAAGUGGCUACUAGCUUUGUUCAUAGCUUAUUUGGCCAUAGGAACAGGUUUUAUGAUUUGUGCUUUUGUGCUGGUUUUUCUUUUUCUUUUCUUUUCUUAACAGUUUGGGCAAAUCAGCUCAUAGGGAGUUUACACCAACUUUUUAUUUGCAUGUGUUUAUGUUUUUAUUUCCCUUGACCACAUCAAAUUUAGAGAUUUAAUUCAAGAAAAGAACUUCCUAAUUGAAGGUAACACACUGUAAUUGAUUCAAUUUAGACUUAAAGGGGUGGAAAAUCAAUGGGGUCAUGAGAUAGAAAGCUCUUACCUUGUUAUCUAUGCUGAGUAGAGCAAAAGCUAAGACAAAAUUUUGUGUGUGUGUGUAAAAAGUGAAAAAGUGUGUGAAAAAAAUUUUGGUGUGUGUUAUAGGGUAAAAAAAUGCAAAAAGAAACAAAAAGAAAGCAAAAAGAUAAUGUAAACGAAAAAAAUAUAACCUAACAGUAAAUACCCCCACACCUAUCCCAAACAUUAUCCUCAAUGGUUAAACAUUUAUAUGAAAAAAAAAUUAAUAAGGAGAAGGAAAGGGACUGCCUGAUCUGUGGGCGAUUUGGCCAGUGAUUUGGGCAAAUCACUCGCCAAAUCACUGGCUGUCAUGGUGGUGGGGCAGAAAAUGGUCCACCAGCAGCUGCAGCAUGCUUUCCAUAUGCUGCAUCCUGUCUUCGAUUCUGGUGAGAUGAGCCUCCACCGAAUGGUCUUGAGGUGCCUUUUAUGUCCUCCAAGGUCCACCCAAUUGCUUCUUUGUGCUUCCUCAACACUUCUAGGAGUUUUUCUUCUUCUUGUGGGCUGAGCUGGUUGGAAAUUAUAACUGAAAGUGUAUUUCUAGCUCCCAAGAAGGCAUAUUUGAGGUGUUCUGGUAAGGGAUUCAGAUCUGGUGCAUUUGCUGUCUGCUGGUUUGCUGUCUGUUGUCUGCUGGUUGAUUUGGGCAGAUCAUCUGGUGCUGUUUCAGGUGAUCUGGGCAGAUCACUGUCUGUCCUGUUUGUCUGCUCCAGUAAUUUGGUCAGUGAUUUGGGCAAAUCACCUGCAACCAGCUGUGAACAGUACUCCAUCUGGUCUGUCUUAGUGCUGCUGCUGUCUGUCUCUUCAAAUCUGCACAAGUCAGCAUUGAGUGUGUCCUCUAGAUCAAAGUCAAAAAUUUCUUGACUUAAAUCAUCAAUUAUAUCAAGGCCAUAAACAGGAAAAACAUCAUUGGGGAAUUUCAUGGCAUCAUAAACAUUAAACUUGAUAACUUCCCCUUCAAACUCCAUGGUCAAUGUGCCAUCAUGCAUAUCAAUUUUUAUUCUGGUUGUGCUCAAGAAUGGUCUCCCAAGUAGGAUGUCAGAGGUGAUUUUGCCCUUAUCCUCCUCCAUGUCAAUCACAUAAAAAUCUGCUGGGAAGACUAGUUGGUCAACUUGUACCAACACAUCUUCCAGCACUCCCUUAGGAUAGACGACGGAUCGGUCAGCUAAUUGGAUCACAAUGCUGGUGCCCUUGAGUGUGCCUGCAUUCAACAUGUUAAAGAUGGAAAGGGGCAUGACAUUGAUUGAAGCCCCAAGGUCACACAUGGCCUUCUUUAUCCCAACGUUGCCUAUUUUGCAUGAAACAGUGAACAUUCCUCUAUCCUUGCAUUUGGUUGGAAGUUUUCUUUGAAUGACAGCUGAGACACACUCCCCCACACUUACCUUUUCACGUUCAGCAAGUUUCCUUCGGUUGGUGCAUAGCUCUUUGAGAAACUUGGCAUACCUUGGAAUUUGCUUCACAGCAUCUAAUAGGGGAAUGUUGAUUUCUACCUUGCGGAGUGUCUCAAGUAUUUCUUUCUCCUCUUUCUCCUUUUGGGACCUUGCUAAUCUCUUUGGGAAGGGAGGAGGUACCUUAAAUUUUUCCAUUGGUUGCUGGUCUGCCUUGGUCUGCUUGGAGCUGGACUCUGCCUGGAUUAUUGAUUUGGGCAGAUCGAAUUCUGCCUUGUCUGGCGAUUUGGGCAGAUCACUGCUGGGCAGCUCAGUCUGCCUAGCGAUUGGGUCAGUGAUUUGGGCAGAUCGACUGCCCUGAUCACUUUCUGGCAGAUUCUCCUCCAUGGCCUGUUUCUUCAAUUUCUCAGCCUUGCUAUCUUGCAGCUCUUUUCCACUCCUCAAUGUGAUGGCACUAACAUUUUGUCUUAGAUUUAUCUCAGUUUGGGAUGGUAGCUUCCCUUGUGACUCUCAUUUGCUCAUUGAAGUGGCCAUUUGGCUCACUUGUUGCUCAAGAUUUUGCACAGUAUUUGCUAAGGACUUCACAAUCUCUUCAAAGGGUGUAUUGGACUUUUGAGGUGCAGCUUGGGCUGGAUUCCAUUGCUGAUAGCUUGGAUAUGGAUUGGCCCUUGCAUAACUGAAAUUUGGAUGGUCCCUCCAACCUGGAUUAUAUGUAUUUGCAUAGGGAUCAUACCUUCUUUGCCCAUUAAAGCCUCCAACAGCAUUGACUUGCUGGUCCUCUUCUUGAAGGGAGGGACAUAGAUCAGUUGGGUGGUUGUUGGCACAUAUUCCACAUGGCUUGGGCUGCUGAAUCUGCUGAACUUGUUGGGUUUGACCCACAACAAGGCUACGGACAGCAUUGGUGAGAUCAGAAAUUUGGGAUGCUAAAAUGGAUGUACUCACCUUAUUUACACUCCUUGGUGGCAGCUCUUGGUCUCCAAAUUGCUGAGAAGCUGCAGCCAUGGUGGAAAUUAAAUCCCUCAUCUCUCGAGGUGACUUCUUCUCAAUUGAUCCUCCACAGGCUGCAUCAAUAAAUUUUCUCUCUGAGGGUAGCGGACCUCCAUAGAAAUACUCAAUGAGAGAUUGGUCAGGAAUAUCAUGCUGGGGGCAGCUUGUGCACAACUUUUUGUACCUUUCCCAGUACUCAUACAAGCCUUCAGAGUGCUUUUGCCUUAUACCACUUAUUUCUCGACGGAUGCCUAUGGCUUUUAAGGUAGGAAAGAAUUUUCUCAAGAAUGCUCUCACCAUACCGGCCCAUGAUGUGAUGGAUCCGGAUGGUAAGUAGAAUAGCCAUUCCUUGGCAUAGUCAUCUAGGGAAAAAGGGAAGGCUCUAAGUUUGACAUGCUCUUCAGUAAUACCUUGAGGUCUCAUGGUGGAGCACACUAUGUGGAAUUCCUUCAAAUGCUUGUGAGGAUCCUCAUUUUCUAGGCCUCUAAAUUUGGGAAGGAGAUGGAUCAGGCUUGUCUUUAAUUCAAAGGGUGCUGUCAAUGGGGGGUAUGCAAUGCAUAAGGGUGGUUGGUCUCCUGCUGGUUCAACUAGCUCUCCGAGAGUUCUCUCCCGUGGCUGUGGUGCUUGGACAGGGACAGGCAGAUUUCCAGCUUGAAUUUCAGCUUCUUCACGGACAACAGGUUGUUCUGCCAUUGUGUGAUCUUCUGCAGGAAUCUGGAAUUCAGUUUCUAGUGUAAUUUCUGCAGUGGCAGGCGUGGCAGCGGGUAAAUUUGCUGGUGCAGCAAAUUCCGCAGAAAGUGAAACAGCAAAUUCCGCUGGUGCAGAAAAAUCUGCUGGUGCAAUUUCAGCAGUGGAGGCAGUAGCGGAUCUGCUUGCUAGUGCAGUGGCAGAUCGGAUGGCAGACUCCGGAUUUGUUGAUGAAGAUGCUCUUGAGGCUUGGUUCCUCAAGUUUGCUUGCUUCCUUAAGCUCUUGGUGGUGCGUUCUAUCUUCGGAUCGUAAAGAAGAUUGUCUUUACAGCCAGACCUGGUCAUAAAGGGAAAAUAUGUUAGUUUAAAUCAAGUCCCCGACAACGGCGCCAAUUUUUGAUAGCGGUUGUCGAAGCCGUCAAAAAUAAACCUAUUAAACAAUCAACAAUUAACUUGUAGAUAGUGGUAAUAGGGUCGAACCACAAGAAUUUGACACUACGGAUUUUCCUAAUAAUGACUUGGACAAGUAAAUAACAAGAAAUUAAAGAGGGGGGUUUUGUUUUGAUGAUUAAAACUAAAUAGCAAGAGAAAGAAAUAAUUUAAAUAUAUGAGAAUUUCAAUAGGAGAAGAUUUCUAGUUGAAGAAUGGAUCUAUUUCAGUUUGUUUAGAAUUGAUCAUUGAUCUUUUCGAUACUCUUAUUUAUUUCAAUAAGUUAGUUUAGGAUGUGGAAGACGCUUCUCAUAAUCCAAAUUCCUCCUUAGUUUUAGUUUGAUUAGGAAAAAUUCGCUAAUCAAACUCUAGUUAACAAGUCGCCAAGGAACGUCCUUGGGGCUUUUAGCAUCGAACAACUGUUAACUGCAUUAGGACUUAGAGAAACCCAACUCUAACCUUGCCAACCGCGUGGUCAAGUUUAGAUUAUGCAACUGAUUAGACUUGUGUUUAAACAAUCUAAGCAAUUAUGGACCUAAAUUAUUCAAACAAUAUAUUACUCAAGCAAUUAAAAGCAACAGGCCUUAAUUGAUUCUAAAAGCAAAGCAAUAAUUAUAGAUAGAUCAAGUUGCAUAAAUAUUGAAAGCAAAUAAGAGUUUAAUAAUGGAGUUUUAAAUCUCCCAAUUCAUCACAAAUCUGAAUUUCCCCAAUUUCAACUAGAAAAGGUGGAAUUUAGCCACUCAUAGUGGACAAAAUCACAAAAGAAAGAAGAAAGGAAGAUGGAGAGGCUGCUGCAGACUUGCUGCUGUGAUUCUGCAGUGGAGAGAAGUUAUGAGAUGAUAUCUUUGCUGGUUUGGGUUGCCUCCUUUUAUAGGUGAGGAAUCCCAAUCCAAUUAGGUUUUGGAAUCCUAAAUUGGAUUGGUCUUUGUCUUUGAUCUCUUCUUUAAUUGUGAAUAAAUCUUCUUCUUGAGGAGGUCUAUCUUGAGAGUGACUCUUUGAGAUGCCCUAGGAUUGAUCUUGAAGUGUUUGAGAGGGAUUAGGACUUCUUUAUUUUAAAUCUUGAAUUUCUGCACUUUCCCGCUUCUGCUGUAUUUUCUGCUGUCAACGUGAUUGGGGCGGGUGAUUUGGGCAGAUCACUUGCCCCAAUCGCUUUUCCGUGAGUCAGUCCAGUUUUCAGCUUUCUGUCUCU